rnacentral:rRNA from 1 species
GAUGAACGCUAGCGGCAGGCUUAAUACAUGCAAGUCAAGGGGGUAGCAAUACUACCGGCGCACGGGUGAGUAACACGUACAUAACAUACCAUAUACUGGGGUAUAGCUUUGGGAAACUGAAGGUAAUCCCCCAUAACAUUGCGAGAGGGCAUCUGAUUGCAAUUAAAGUUUCGACGGUAUAUGAUUGAUGUGCGUUUGAUUAGCUUGUUGGUAGGGUAACGGCCUACCAAGGCGACGAUCAAUAGCUGGCGUGAGAGCGCGACCAGCCACACUGGAACUGAGACACGGUCCAGACUCCUACGGGAGGCAGCAGUAGGGAAUAUUGGACAAUGGGCGAAAGCCUGACCCAGCCAUGCCGCGUGAUAGAUGAAGGCCCUCUGGGUCGUAAAUAUCUUUAUCUGGGAAGAAACAAUCUUAUUCUUAAGAUCUUGACGGUACCAGAGGAAUAAGCACCGGCUAACUCGUG